rnacentral:rRNA from 1 species
UACGUAGGGUGCAAGCGUUAAUCGGAAUUACUGGGCGUAAAGCGUGCGCAGGCGGUGAUGUAAGCCAGUUGUGAAAUCCCCGGGCUCAACCUGGGAACUGCAUCUGUGACUGCAUUGCUGGAGUGCGGCAGAGGGGGAUGGAAUUCCGCGUGUAGCAGUGAAAUGCGUAGAUAUGUGGAGGAACACCAAUGGCGAAGGCAGCCCCCUGGGUCAACACUGACGCUCAUGCACGAAAGCGUGGGGAGCAAACAGG